AUUGAACGCUGGCGGCAGGCCUAACACAUGCAAGUCGAACGAGUGGCGGACGGGUGAGUCAUGUCUGGGAAACUGCCUGAUGGAGGGGGAUAACUACUGGAAACGGUAGCUAAUCCCGAAUUCCAUCGGCUGUGCCCCGAUGGGCUUAGCUUGUAGGUGGGGUAAAGGCGCACCUAGGCGACGACCCCUAGCUGGUCUGAGAGGAUGACCAGUCACACUGGAACUGAGAAACGGUCCAGACUCCUACGGGAGGCAGCAGUGGGGAAUAUUGCACAAUGGGCGAAAGCCUGAUGCAGCCAUGCCGCGUGUAUGAAGAAGGCAUUCGGGUUGUAAAGUACUUUCAGCGUGGAGGCGUUACCCGCAGAAGAAGCACCGGCUAACUCCGUGCCAGCAGCCGCGGUAAUAC
rnacentral:rRNA from 1 species